CCUACGGGAGGCAGCAGUGAGGAAUAUUGGUCAAUGGGCGGGAGCCUGAACCAGCCAAGUCGCGUGAGGGAAGACGGUCCUAUGGAUUGUAAACCUCUUUAGGCGGGGAGCAAUGCCGGGCACGCGUGCCCGGAGGGAGAGUACCCGCAGAAUAAGCCUCGGCUAACUCCGUGCCAGCAGCCGCGGUAAUACGGAGGAUGCGAGCGUUAUCCGGAUUUUUUGGGUUUAAAGGGUUCGUAGGCGGAUUUUUAAGUCAGCGGUAAAAUGUCCGGGCUCAACCCGGGCCGGCCGUUGAAACUGGGGAUCUUGAGUGGGCGAGAAGUAUGCGGAAUGCGUGGUGUAGCGGUGAAAUGCAGAGAUAUCACGCAGAACUCCGAUUGCGAAGGCAGCAUACCGGCGCCCGACUGACGCUGAGGCACGAAAGCGUGGGGAUCGAACAGGAUUAGAUACCCCUGUAGUC
rnacentral:rRNA from 1 species